rnacentral:rRNA from 1 species
AUUGAACGCUGGCGGCAGGCCUAACACAUGCAAGUCGAGCGGAUGAAGGGAGCUUGCUCCUGGAUUCAGCGGCGGACGGGUGAGUAAUGCCUAUGAAUCUGCCUGGUAGUGGGGGAUAACGUCCGGAAACGGGCGCUAUUAUCGCGUACGCCCUGAGGGGGAGAGUGGGGGAUCUUCGGACCCCACGCUAUCAGAUGAUCCUAGGUCGGAUUAGCUAGUUGGUGGGGUAAAGGCCUACCAAGGCGACGAUCCGUAACUGGUCUGAGAGGAUGAUCAGUCACACUGGAACUGAGACACGGUCCAGACUCCUACGGGAGGCAGCAGUGGGGAAUAUUGGACAAUGGGCGAAAGCCUGAUCCAGCCAUGCCGCGUGUGUGAAGAAGGUCUUCGGAUUGUAAAGCACUUUAAGUUGGGAGGAAGGGCAGUAAGUUAAUACCUUGCUGUUUUGACGUUACCAACAGAAUAAGCACCGGCUAACUUCGUG